CCUACGGGUGGCAGCAGUGAGGAAUAUUGGUCAAUGGGCGGAAGCCUGAACCAGCCAAGUAGCGUGCAGGAUGACGGCCCUACGGGUUGUAAACUGCUUUUAUACGGGCAUAACGCGCCUUACGUGUAGGGCUUUUCGUGUACCGUAUGAAUAAGAACCGGCUAAUUCCGUGCCAGCAGCCGCGGUAAUACGGAAGGUCCGGGCGUUAUCCGGAUUUAUUGGGUUUAAAGGGAGCGUUGGCGGCAUGUCAAGCGUGCUGUGAAAUGUACGGGCUGAACCUGGGCAUUGCAGGGGGAACUGGAAUGCUUGAGUCCGUCGAAGGCAGGCGGAAUUC
rnacentral:rRNA from 1 species